rnacentral:piRNA from 1 species
UCUCCAGUUGGGAUGCUAACUCCCCUACCC